rnacentral:rRNA from 1 species
UACAGAGGUCCCAAGCGUUAGGCGGAAUCACUGGCUUAAAGCGUGUGUAGGCGGAUGCCUAAGUACCUUGUGAAAGUCCCAACGGCUUACCGUGGAACUGACUUGGUAUACUGGGUGUCUUGAGCCAUCGUAGGGGCCUGCGGAACAAACGGUGGAGCGGUGAAAUGCGUAGAUAUCGUUGGAACGCCAACGGUGAAAACAGCAGG